GUGACAUGUGGGCCAAGGAAGCUGAAAUUGAGGCAGAAGAAAGGAGGCUGGAGUGAGUCCGAGGCUCCCAUGGCCUGGGAGCCCCAAAGCCAGAGGUCUCUGAACGGCCCCCAAGCCAGUGGAGGGAGUCUGGGGUGCUGCUACAGGCCCCAGGGAUGCCCAGGGCCCAGGGCAUUGAAAGAGCCUCAGGAGGGGCAGUUCCAGGCCCAGAGCCAUGAGCACUCGGCCUCCCUAGCCCAGCCUGAUCCUGCCAGCCUUUGAUCGUUUAAUAAGCAAAACGGGGAGGUCCUGCCUCUGAAGAUUGUCACCUACGCUGCUGUGUCCUUGUCACUGGCAGCCCUGCUGGUGGCCUUCGUCCUCCUGAGCCUGGUCCGCACGCUGCGCUCCAACCUGCACAGCAUUCACAAGCACCUCGCUGCAGCGCUCUUCCUCUCUCAGCUGGUGUUCGUGAUUGGGAUCAACCAGACGGAAAACCCGUUCCUGUGCACAGUGGUUGCCAUCCUCCUCCACUACAUCUACAUGAGCACCUUUGCCUGGACCCUCGUGGAGAGCCUGCAUGUCUACCGCAUGCUGACCGAGGUGCGCAACAUCGACACGGGGCCCAUGCGGUUCUACUACGUCG
rnacentral:sRNA from 1 species